CUAACCUGCUAAAUAGUACAGUUGCAAUUGUUAUGUGGACCUCUGUCCUUGUGCCUCUGGUGCAGAGACGGAACCACAUAAGCAGGUGAAACUUCUUAGAGGAACUGGCGCCCGAAAAGGCGCACGAGAAAGAGCAAUAACAGGUCUGUGAUGCCCUAAGAUGUCCGGGGCCGCACGCGUGCUACAAUGACGAUGCUACUGAGCAUGAUUUACUUGUCCGAAAGGAUUGGUGAAACUGUUCAAUCAUCGUCGUGACUGGGAUUGAGGUUUGUAAUUAUCCCUCAUGAACCAGGAAUUCCUAGUAAGCACAAGUCAUAAGCUUGUGCUGAUUACGUCCCUGCCCUUUGUACACACCGCCCGUCGCUACUACCGAUUGAAUGGUUUAGCAAGGACAUUGGAUCGAGCCUUUGCGGUUCACGCUGCUUUGGUUUGAGAAGAUGUCCGAACUUGAUCAUUUAGAGGAAGUAAAAGUCGUAACAAGGUUUCCGUAGGUGAACCUGCGGAAGGAUCAUUA
rnacentral:rRNA from 1 species